GACGAACGCUGGCGGCGUGCUUAACACAUGCAAGUCGAACGGGAUUUAGUAGACAGAAGCCUCGGCUAAAGAUUACUAAUGAGAGUGGCGAACGGGUGAGUAACGCGUGAGCAACCUGCCUAUGACAGUGGGAUAGCCUCGGGAAACCGGGAUUAAUACCGCAUAAAAUCGUAGAAACACAUGUUUUAACGGUCAAAGAUUUAUCGGUCAUAGAUGGGCUCGCGUCUGAUUAGCUAGUUGGUGAGAUAACAGCCCACCAAGGCGACGAUCAGUAGCCGGUCGGAGAGGAUGAACGGCCACAUUGGAACUGAGACACGGUCCAAACUCCUACGGGAGGCAGCAGUGGGGAAUAUUGCACAAUGGGGGAAACCCUGAUGCAGCGACGCCGCGUGAACGAAGAAGGUAUUCGUAUCGUAAAGUUCUGUCCUAUGGGAAGAUAAUGACAGUACCAUAGAAGAAAGCUCCGGCUAAAUACGUG
rnacentral:rRNA from 1 species